UACGGAGGGUGCGAGCGUUGUCCGGAAUCAUUGGGCGUAAAGGGCGCGUAGGUGGCCUGCUAAGCGUGCGGUGAAAGUCGGGGGCUCGAACCCCCGAUCGGCCCGUGCGAACUGGGAGGCUUGAGCACUGUAGAGGCAGGCGGAAUUCCGGGUGUAGCGGUGGAAUGACGUAGAGAUCCGGAAGAACACCGGUGGCGAAGGCGGCCUGCUGGGCAGUUUGCUGACACUGAGGCGCGACAGCGUGGGGAGCAAACAGG
rnacentral:rRNA from 1 species